GCCCCGAUGGCACAUCGGUCUAAGCGCGCGCUCCACAAAAGGCUGAGUCCUUCCUGCGGCAGCCCGGGUUCGAUUCCGGCUCGGGCCU